AACACCCCGUACUGAGACGGUACUAGAAGGUAACACCCCGUACUGAGACGGUACUAGAAGGUAACACCCCGUACUGAGACGGUACUAGAAGGUAACACCCCAUACUGAGACGGUACUAGAAGGUAACACCCCGUACUGAGACGGUACUAGAAGGUAAC